rnacentral:lncRNA from 1 species
ACUACUAGUACUCGAGCGGAGUUCCAAAGUUGAAUCAUGGUUGAAUGUUGUUGCGCAGA